GAUGAACGCUGGCGGCGUGCCUAAUACAUGCAAGUCGAGCGAACAGACGAGGAGCUUGCUCCUCUGACGUUAGCGGCGGACGGGUGAGUAACACGUGGAUAACCUACCUAUAAGACUGGGAUAACUUCGGGAAACCGGAGCUAAUACCGGAUAAUAUAUUGAACCGCAUGGUUCAAUAGUGAAAGACGGUUUUGCUGUCACUUAUAGAUGGAUCCGCGCCGCAUUAGCUAGUUGGUAAGGUAACGGCUUACCAAGGCAACGAUGCGUAGCCGACCUGAGAGGGUGAUCGGCCACACUGGAACUGAGACACGGUCCAGACUCCUCCGGGAGGCAGCAGUAGGGAAUCUUCCGCAAUGGGCGAAAGCCUGACGGAGCAACGCCGCGUGAGUGAUGAAGGUCUUCGGAUCGUAAAACUCUGUUAUUAGGGAAGAACAAAUGUGUAAGUAACUAUGCACGUCUUGACGGUACCUAAUCAGAAAGCCACGGCUAACUACGUG
rnacentral:rRNA from 1 species